ACGGAAGGCAGCAGUGGGGAAUAUUGGACAAUGGGGGAAACCCUGAUCCAGCGACGCCGCGUGAGUGAAGAAGUAUUUCGGUAUGUAAAGCUCUAUCAGCAAGGAAGAAAAUGACGGUACUUGACUAAGAAGCCCCGGCUAACUACGUGCCAGCAGCCGCGGUAAUACGUAGGGGGCAAGCGUUAUCCGGAUUUACUGGGUGUAAAGGGAGCGUAGACGGCGAGGCAAGUCUGAUGUGAAAGCCAUGGGCUCAACCCAUGAACUGCAUUGGAAACUGUUUUGCUUGAGUGUCGGAGAGGUAAGCGGAAUUCCUAGUGUAGCGGUGAAAUGCGUAGAUAUUAGGAGGAACACCAGUGGCGAAGGCGGCUUACUGGACGAUAACUGACGUUGAGGCUCGAAAGCGUGGGGAGCAAACAGGAUUAGAUACCCUGGUA
rnacentral:rRNA from 1 species